UCCUGGAGGCAGGGUUAAUCCUGCACGCAAACAUUGGGCCCGGGUGCCCCACUCGGAAUCCUCCCAUUUGUACGUGAAGCCGCCAGAAAGCAAUUUCCUUUAAUCCCGGACAGGACGGCGUGGUCCUCGUUUUACAGAAGAACCAAGUAUGGCCUGAGCCGGAGCCCCGCGUGGGGUCCCGGCCUCCCACCCGCGAUGGCUGCCGCCGCUGGCCGCGGGCCCGAGAUGCCGAUCACCUGCGCGCGCGGCUGGCGGCCGCAGGUGCGGCGGGGGCGGCGCCCUCGAUUGCGCGGGCCUGGGGCGGUAAAGGCGCGGCGGGCGGGCUGCGGCAGGGACGGACGGGGACAGCCCACCAUGAACGCCGGCGGCCAGGGCUACCCACUCGCCUCGCUCUACGUGGGCGACCUGCACCCCGACGUGACCGAGGCCAUGCUCUACGAGACCUUCUCGCCUGCCGGCCCCAUCCUGUCCAUCCGCGUGUGCCGCGAUGUGGCCACCCGGCGCUCUCUGGGCUACGCCUACAUCAACUUCCAGCAGCCGGCCGACGCGGAGCGGGCACUGGACACGAUGAACUUUGAGGUGAUCAAAGGCCAACCCAUCCGAAUCAUGUGGUCCCAUCGGGACCCAGGCCUUCGAAAGUCGGGCGUGGGUAACAUCUUCAUCAAAAACCUGGAGGACUCCAUUGACAACAAGGCUUUGUAUGAUACCUUCUCCACCUUCGGGAACAUCCUCUCUUGCAAGGUGGUGUGUAAUGAGCAGGGCUCCCGGGGCUUCGGCUUCGUGCAUUUUGAGACCCACGAGGCCGCGCAGCAGGCCAUCAGCACCAUGAAUGGAAUGCUGCUCAAUGAUCGCAAAGUCUACGUUGGUCACUUCAAGUCUCGCCGGGAACGGGAGGCGGAGCUGGGGGCUCGGGCCCUGGAGUUCACCAACAUCUACGUGAAGAGCCUCCACGCGGACAUGGACGAGCAGGGCCUGCAGGACCUCUUCUCCCAGUUUGGAAAGACACUGAGCGUGAAGGUGAUGAGGGACAGCAGUGGCCGAUCCAGGGGCUUUGGCUUUGUCAACUUUGAGAAGCAUGAGGAAGCUCAGAAGGCUGUGGACCAAAUGAAUGGGAAGGAGGUGAGUGGGCGGCUGCUGUACGUGGGCCGGGCCCAGAAGCGGGCAGAGAGGCAGAAUGAGCUGAAGCGCAGGUUCGAACAGAUGAAGCAGGACCGGCAGAACCGCUACCAGGGCGUGAACCUGUAUGUGAAGAACCUGGAUGACUCCAUCAACGAUGAGAAGCUGAGGAAAGUGUUUUCUCCCUACGGAGUGAUUACCAGUGCAAAGGUGAUGACAGAGGGUAGCCACAGCAAGGGGUUUGGCUUUGUGUGUUUUUCCUCUCCAGAAGAAGCGACAAAGGCUGUGACAGAGAUGAAUGGGCGCAUUGUGGGCACCAAGCCACUGUAUGUGGCGCUGGCCCAGCGCAAAGAGGAGCGGAAGGCCAUCUUGACCAACCAGUACAUGCAGCGCCUCUCCACGGUGCAGGCCCUGGACCACCCCCUCCUGGGCUCCUUCCAGCAGCCCACCAGCUACUUUCUGCCUGCUGUGCCUCAGCCUCCAGCCCAGGCUGCGUACUAUGACUCUGGCUCCAUAGCUCCUAUCCAGCCUGCCCCCAGGUGGACGGCCCAGCCGCACAGACCUCCGUCAAACAUUGGUACCCAGACUACAAGACCCAGUGGGGCAGGAUGCUCUACACCAGGCCAGCCUUUCCUGCCACACAAAUGUUCCUCAGCUGUACACAAUGCCCAUGGGGUCCAGGAACCUGCUGUGUACGUCCCUGGCCAGGAGCCCCUGACUGCAUCCAGGCUGGCUGCAGCACCCCUGCAUGAGCAAAAACAGAUGAUUGGGGAGCGCCUCUACCCCCUCAUCCAUGAUGUCCAUACCCAGCUGGCUGGCAAGAUCACAGGCAUGCUGCUGGAGAUCGACAACUCGGAACUGCUGCUCAUGCUUGAGUCUCCAGAGUCCCUCCAUGCCAAGGUAGGUAGAGGCUGGGCAGCAGGAGAGCUAAGGACAAGGGCUGUCCUUGACACUCUAGGACAGGUGAAAUUGAUCUUAAGAGUAGAAGAGGGCCUUCAAUAAGGGUUUGCUAUUUCAGCCCCUCCAGAGACUAAUUCUGUAUAGCCGCAUAGACAAGCUUUUGACACAAGAAGCUAUGUUCUGACAGUAUAAAGGUCAAGAUUUUUCUGAUGUCCAGAAGUGUACCUCUAUCUCACAGGAUCUUAUAGAAGAGGCAGUAGCAGUCUUGCAGGCACACCAGGCCAUGGAGCAGCCGAAGGCAUAUAUGCACUGAAAACGGUGGUUGACUGGGGGUUACAUGAACUGUGACAGAGCAGCUGAGACCAGGAGAAACUGCAGAGAACCAGGCAAGAGGGUGACUUUCAGAAACUCACCAUGUUGUGCUACUGGCUUUAUCUGACACCCAAGGAUUCCUUGAAGAGGGAAGCUGAAAUGAUCACAGAUGAUACACCUACACCUGACUAGAAUGGUGCAGAGUGAAGCUGGUGUUUUCGUACCAGCUGCCCUGCCUGGUCUACAUAGAAUGAGUUGGGCUUUCCCUGGGCAUAGGCUCCAUUCUGCCUGUUAGAAGGCCUGCCUGUGUGGGCCACACUACAUUCUUAACUGAAGACUGAGUGUCUUCAGUACUUCAGGAACAUUUUUUUUUCCCUUUAACCCCUGGAAAAUGGAAUCCUUACUCCCCUGGUUGCCAAGAGUACAGCAUUUCUUUCUCUGAGCUGAAAGGCCCUGUGAACUGUAACUUAUUUCUUGACUGGUCUGUGUCUGUAACUGAGCUUCGAAUAUGGAAUGGAGGCUGGUUACCCAGCCAGCCACUUAACUUUUGCUUUGUGUAUUAAAAGUACUGCAAAAUCU